rnacentral:ncRNA from 2 species
CUCUUAUUGCGAGCAGGCGGAGGGACUGCCCCGAGGAAGCCCGGCAACCUGCUUAUUGACAAAUAAGUAAGGUGCUCAACUGAGCAAGGGAAUUCCUUGAACGAUAAGAG